GAUUUAAUUAAUUAAUCAAUUAACUAAUUUAUUAUAAAUUGAUUAAUUAACUGGUUUUAAUUGGUUUGAUUUAGUACCAACCAUUUACAAACACACUACAAAAUUAAAAAAUAUUUUAAAUAUAUCAGCGUUGUUAACAAGGGAGCGCAAAAAGAAACCACAAGGCUUUUAUAAAUUUAGGCUCGCUUUUAAUUCUAUGGAACAUUAUAUAUCAAAAUAUAUAGCGGAUCUAAUUACACAUUUUAACAUUCUCAUAAUUAAGGAAAAAGUUAACUUUCAAUUUCUUUAAAUAAGUAAAAAGAGUCUAUGUUUAUCAACUCACAAGGAAGAGAAUCGAAAAACUUUGGAAAUUGUCUAAUAUUUGUUCUACACAAAGGCAUGUGGUAAUUCGAAAAAAUUUUUGACUUCGAAUGUAUCAAAUUGCAUGACUACGUUCGGAAAAAAGAUUAUGUUUAUGACUAAACAUAAACUGACCAGGUUGUAACAAACAAAUAUCAUCCAAUUUCAACAAGACAAGUUUCUUAAAUAUUGAAUAAGCCAUUAAAUAAUACAUAGAAAAGAGGACCAAGAAUUGAACCCUGAGGUACCCCACAACAAACCUUUUUGAGGGAUUGAGUAGUAUUCUUGUUAUUGAACAAACUGAAAUCUAUUCGUGAAAUAAAUCUUUAUCCAAUGCAAUUUUUAAUUAUUAAAAGGAUAUAGAAAGGUCCUAGAAAAUUCCUACCGAAAUUUCCUUUCUAUCAAUAUAUUGCACCUGAAAUUUUUAUCAUACAUAGAUCUAUCGGAAAUAGCGAAGUUGAAUGAUUUUUGCGAAAUUCAUAUUGAUUUUCGUAUAAUAUUUUAAAUCUAUCUCAAUAAAUUAAUAAACGAUUAUAUAUAAUCCGUUCCAAGAAUUUAGAGAAACUUGGAAGUAUCGAUACUGGUCGAUAAUUUGAAAAUAAUGCACGAUCACCCGUUUCAAUUAAACAACGAAAUAACACAUGCAAUUUUCAUUUCAUCCGGAACAAUACCACUUGUUAUUGAUAAAUUAAUUAAGUGAACAAGAGCUAUUGGUAAAACCAGGAACAACGGAACACCGGAACAGCAUCAUUCCGGAACACCGGAAUUCCGGAACACCGGAACACUAAAAAUUCUUAAUUUGUUAAAAAUUCGGAAAAAAUUACCGGGGGGGGGGUGAAAUUAUUGCUGGAAAAUUUAUUGCGUAAAACAUGCUUCUUAAUAUUCUGACCUGCCGAUUCCUACUAUAAAUUACGAACUGAAAUCAGUCUCAAAUUAACAAAUAUUUGCCCGAAAAGAAGAAAUCAAACCGUGUUAUUUGUUGACAAUAAAUGGCUAUCUGACUUUGUUUGUUAUUGUAAACAUGACCUUUGGGCUUUGGCCGGCUGUUGGUCAAUAUUAAUGGUGUAACAACAGUUGAUUGGCUUCCUUGUUUUUACAAACUUAUCGUUGAUUGGCUUCCUUGUUUUAUCACUCGUUAAAAGUUUGCGUUUACUUUAGGAUCACUUACAAUUCUUUAAUAUGCGUAAUAGCAACUUGAUCGUUUCUAACACAACACAUAAGCAGCGAUGGAAGGAAAACUUUUAGCAUGAUAAUAACCUUUCGCCAUUUCGGUCAAUAAAAAUGACAAAAAUACAAACAAAUGUAGGCCUUGUAAGUCAUAGCUUAAAUAAUAUUCCAACGCAUGUGUGUCUAUUUGUCUAUUUCACUAUGUUUAAAAUUUAUUAACUCAAUUCAGUAGGGAAUUUUGUUCUGAUUUGAGACUGACUUCAGUUCGUAAUUUAUAGUAGGAAUCGGCAAGUCAGAAUAUUAUUAAAAAGGAUGUUUUACGCAAUAAUUUUUCCAGCAAUAAUUUCAUCCCCCCCGGUAAUUUUUUUCAAAUUUUUAACAAAUUAAGAAUUUUUAGUGUUCCGGUGUUCCGGAAUGAUGCUGUUCCAGUGUUCCGUUGUUCCGGUGUUCCGGUGUUCCUGGUUUUACUAGUAGCCGUGAACAAGUGGCUCAGCAAUGAUACUUAUAGAUGCUUGAUUGUUGACAUAAGGAUUUUAUCAUAACCAGCAGCUAUGUUUGACUGAAAGGUUUUGGCAAUUUCUAUAAUUUCAACAAGGGCUUUAUUUAAGAUUUUGUCCGGGGGAGAGGGGGGCAUUUAGGGACCAUACUAUACUGGCUAUAUAGGAGACUGCAUUUCGUACGUUUUCCGAAACAGAUUUUUGGAUAUACAGCGUUACAAUAUACUGUAGAUACACUGAAUCUUCAGUUAAGUACUUGCUGGUGGUAUGUUUAUGAAAACAUUUCUUCCAAUGUUUUGCUUAUAAGAUGUUUGAGUGGGAAGGGUCACCAUGGGGAUUGGGGGGCUUUGACUGUUAAAAAGGCCCCGAUUUCAACACUAGUUACAUGAAAGAAAUUGUCGAUGGAAUUUGGAAGAUGGGUGAAUUUUCUUAGCAAGGUUUCGACCAAUACCAGAAACUGAAUAGUUGCAGAACUUAGCUUAUUAGCAAUUUCAACAGGGUCUGGAAUUUCUGUAUUGUUGAUACUACUUUUAAACGAUGAGGAAAAAAUAGUUUUCGGUCUUUUAUUAAUAACUUCAUUAAGAGCCUUCCAAGUGGAUUUGAUAUCAGUUUUAACAUUUUAUAAUUUCCUAAGGGGCCAUUCACAAAGGAUAUCCGAGCCGAGGG
rnacentral:lncRNA from 1 species